CCUACGGGAGGCAGCAGUGGGGAAUAUUGGACAAUGGGGGGAACCCUGAUCCAGCCAUGCCGCGUGUGUGAAGAAGGCCCUCGGGUUGUAAAGCACUUUCAGUGAGGAAGAACGCCUGGUGGUUAAUACCCAUCAGGAAAGACAUCACUCACAGAAGAAGCACCGGCUAACUCCGUGCCAGCAGCCGCGGUAACACGGAGGGUGCGAGCGUUAAUCGGAAUUACUGGGCGUAAAGCGCGCGUAGGUGGCUUGAUAAGCCGGUUGUGAAAGCCCCGGGCUCAACCUGGGAACGGCAUCCGGAACUGUCAAGCUAGAGUGCAGGAGAGGAAGGUAGAAUUCCCGGUGUAGCGGUGAAAUGCGUAGAGAUCGGGAGGAAUACCAGUGGCGAAGGCGGCCUUCUGGACUGACACUGACACUGAGGUGCGAAAGCGUGGGUAGCAAACAGGAUUAUAUACCCGUGUAGUC
rnacentral:rRNA from 1 species